GAUGAACGCUAGCGGGAGGCUUAACACAUGCAAGUCGAGGGGCAGCAUAGGGUAGCAAUACUCUGAUGGCGACCGGCAAACGGGUGAGUAACGCGUAUGCAACCUACCCUGUACAGGGGGAUAACCCGGAGAAAUUCGGACUAAUAUCCCGUAAUAAUAUCCGGAGGCAUCUUUGGAUAUUUAAAGUUUCGACGGUACGGGAUGGGCAUGCGUAACAUUAGCUGGUUGGUAAGGUAACGGCUUACCAAGGCUAUGAUGUUUAGGGGUCCUGAGAGGGUGGUCCCCCACACUGGUACUGAGACACGGACCAGACUCCUACGGGAGGCAGCAGUGAGGAAUAUUGGUCAAUGGGCGCAAGCCUGAACCAGCCAUCCCGCGUGCAGGAAGACGGCCCUAUGGGUUGUAAACUGCUUUUAGCCGGGAAUAAACACCCGUUUUAUAACGGGCCCGAAGGUACCGGCUGAAUAAGCAUCGGCUAACUCCGUGCCAGCAGCCGCGGUAAUACGUCCUACUG
rnacentral:rRNA from 1 species